rnacentral:rRNA from 1 species
AACGAACGCUGGCGGCAUGCCUAACACAUGCAAGUCGAACGAGACCUUCGGGUCUAGGGGCGCACGGGUGCGUAACGCGGGGGAACCUGCCCUUAGGUUCGGAAUAACUCCCCGAAAGGGGUGCUAAUACCGGAGAAUGUCUUCGGACCAAAGAUUUAUCGCCUUUGGAUGGGCCCGCGUUGGAUUAGCUAGUUGGUAGGGUAAAAGCCUACCAAGGCGACGAUCCAUAGCUGGUCUGAGAGGAUGAUCAGCCACACUGGGACUGAGACACGGCCCAGACUCCUACGGGAGGCAGCAGUGGGGAAUAUUGGACGAUGGGCGAAAGCCUGAUCCAGCAAUGCCGCGUGAGUGAUGAAGGCCUUAGGGUUGUAAAGCUCUUUUACCCGGGAUGAUAAUGACAGUACCGGGAGAAUAAGCUCCGGCUAACUCCGUG